rnacentral:rRNA from 1 species
UACGAAGGGGGCUAGCGUUGUUCGGAAUUACUGGGCGUAAAGCGCGUGUAGGCGGUUGUUCAAGUCGGGUGUGAAAGCCUUGAGCUCAACUCAAGAAAUGCACUCGGUACUGGAUGACUAGAGGACCGGAGAGGAUAGUGGAAUUCCCAGUGUAGUGGUGAAAUACGUAGAGAUUGGGAAGAACACCAGUGGCGAAGGCGGCUAUCUGGACGGUUUCUGACGCUAAGACGCGAAAGCGUGGGGAGCAAACAGG